AUUGGACGCUGGCGGCAGGCCUAACACAUGCAAGUCGAGCGGAUGAAGGGAGCUUGCUCCUGGAUUCAGCGGCGGACGGAUGAGUAAUGCCUAGGAAUCUGCCUGGUAGUGGGGGAUAACGUCCGGAAACGGGCGCUAAUACCGCAUACGUCCUGAGGGAGAAAGUGGGGGAUCUUCGGACCUCACGCUAUCAGAUGAGCCUAGGUCGGAUUAGCUAGUUGGUGGGGUAAAGGCCUACCAAGGCGACGAUCCGUAACUGGUCUGAGAGGAUGAUCAGUCACACUGGAACUGAGACACGGUCCAGACUCCUACGGGAGGCAGCAGUGGGGAAUAUUGGACAAUGGGCGAAAGCCUGAUCCAGCCAUGCCGCGUGUGUGAAGAAGGUCUUCGGAUUGUAAAGCACUUUAAGUUGGGAGGAAGGGCAGUAAGUUAAUACCUUGCUGUUUUGACGUUACCAACAGAAUAAGCACCGGCUAACUUCGUG
rnacentral:rRNA from 1 species